rnacentral:rRNA from 1 species
AUUGAACGCUGGCGGCAGGCUUAACACAUGCAAGUCGAGCGAGCGGCGGACGGGUGAGUAAUGUCUGGGAAACUGCCUGAUGGAGGGGGAUAACUACUGGAAACGGUCGCUAAUACAGCAUACCAUCAGAUGUGCCCAUAGGGGAUUAGCUAGUGGUGGGGGUAAUGGCUCACCUAGGCGACGUUCCCUAGCUGGUCUGAGAGGAUGACCAGCCACACUGGAACUGAGCCACGGUCCAGACUCCUACGGGAGGCAGCAGUGGUGAAUAUUGCACAAUGGGCGCAAGCCUGAUGCAGCCAUGCCGCGUGUGUGAAGAAGGCCUUCGGGUUGUAAAGCACUUUCAGCGAGGAGGCGUUACUCGCAGAAGAAGCACCGGCUAACUCCGUGCCAGCCGCCGCGGUAAUAC